rnacentral:rRNA from 1 species
UCCAGACUCCUACGGGAGGCAGCAGUGGGGAAUAUUGCACAAUGGGGGGAACCCUGAUGCAGCGACGCCGCGUGGGUGAAGGAGUAUUUCGGUAUGUAAAGCCCUAUCGGCAGGGAAGAACAAUGACGGUACCUGACUAAGAAGCACCGGCUAAAUACGUGCCAGCAGCCGCGGUAAUACGUAUGGUGCAAGCGUUAUCCGGAUUUACUGGGUGUAAAGGGGGCGCAGACGGCAAUGCAAGCCAGGAGUGAAAGCCCGGGGCCCAACCCCGGGACUGCUCUUGGAACUGCAUGGCUGGAGUACAGGAGGGGCAGGCGGAAUUCCUAGUGUAGCGGUGAAAUGCGUAGAUAUUAGGAGGAACACCGGUGGCGAAGGCGGCCUGCUGGACUGUGACUGACGUUGAGGCCCGAAGGCGUGGGGAGCAGACAGGAUUAGAUACCCCGGUA